UACGUAGGUGGCAAGCGUUGUCCGGAUUUACUGGGCGUAAAGAGCGCGCAGGCGGUCGUUCAAGUCGCGUGUGAAAGCCCCCGGCUCAACUGGGGAGGGUCACGCGAUACUGAUCGACUCGAAGGCAGGAGAGGGUAGUGGAAUUCCCGGUGUAGUGGUGAAAUGCGUAGAUAUCGGGAGGAACACCAGUGGCGAAGGCGGCAUCCUGGACCAACACGUGACACUGAGGAGCGGAAAAGCCAAGGGGAGCAAACGGG
rnacentral:rRNA from 1 species